rnacentral:rRNA from 1 species
GACGAACCGAGCGAACGUUGUUCGGAAUCACUGGGCUUAAAGGGCGCGUAGGCGGGCUCACAAGUCAGGGGUGAAAUCCCACGGCUCAACCGUGGAAGUGCCUUUGAUACUGUGGGGCUUGAGGGAGGUAGGGGCGUGCGGAACUUCCGGUGGAGCGGUGAAAUGCGUAGAUAUCGGAAGGAACACCAGUGGCGAAGGCGGCUACCUGGACUGACACUGACACUGAGGCGCGAGAGCGUGGGGAGCAAACAGG